GGUGAUACAGAUUUUCCCGGGUUUUCUGACCAGUGAGGAAAGUGAUCCUAGAGAGAGAUCAGUACGAGCGCCACCUCUAGUCCCAAUGGGAACAGCAGGAGACUCUCCAAGGUAGAUUCCUAGGCCCACCCACACUCUCCCACCCUGGACACUUCUUGGACCUGCUCUGGACCUGUGGCCCUGUGGUCUCAGCCUGCUCGCGUUCACCUGAGAAAGGGGCCCGUUUUCAAAAUCAUGGCUACUUCUCUAAAUCAGCAGACAGCAGCCUGAAGAUCACCCGUAAAUGUCUGCUGCACUGAGGGCUGUUUUGGCUAAUGGAAAAAGGACACCAAGUUGAAGAUCCAUCCAGCCUUUCUGCUUUCAGUGUCCUUGGAGCCAUCAGCAGCUGUGUCCCCCACAAAGCCCUGACACUACUCUGUGUGGUACUACUGAGCCUCCUUAAUGUCCCUCCUUGCUGUGAAAUCUUAGUGCUUCAGCCUCUUCUUGAUGGGUAUCUCACCUUGCCCUUGAAGGAGAGCUUUGCUCAGAAAAUAGAGUCCUGGGAGACCCCAGAGACUGUUCCCAGCAGGAUGUCCAUCCCAUCAGCUGAGAGUCCUCAUGGUCAGUCUCAUGGACCUGUCACUGAGGGCUGUUUUGGCUAAUGGAAAAGGACACCAAGUUGAAGAUCCAUCCAGGUGUGA
rnacentral:lncRNA from 1 species